UACAAUGGGUUUAAGGUGGCUAUAGAUGG
rnacentral:piRNA from 1 species